CCACCGGGGCCAUCUGCGGUGUCUCUGGGUCUUCGGAUCCAGGUUCAGCCUCGUCUCCACCCCCGGAGAACUCUGACUCAAACGAUUCCAAGCUGCUGAGAAGUGUUUACUGUGAAGCACCUGGGGACGUGGAACACCUAAAGACACAAGUGAAAGUGCUCUGGGCGUUGCACUCAUCGGACAGUGUGAAGCGGAAGGAUUGGCUUGUUUGACGUCCCUCGUCCUCAGGAAGC